rnacentral:lncRNA from 1 species
CUUGGGGGGCAGCUGUGGGGCAGGAAGGGUUGGGGGUUGGAGGGGGACUUGGGGCACUUAUGGGGUAUUUAUGGGGUACUUAUGGGGCAGAUAGGGGCACUUAUGGGGUAUAUAUGGGGCCCUUAUGGGGCAGAUAGGGGCACUUACGGGGUAUAUAUGGGGUACUUAUGGGGCUGAGGGGCAGUUAUGGGGUACUUAUGGGGCACUUAUUGGGCAGAUAGCGGCACUUAUGGGGCAGAUAGGGGCACUUAUGGGGCAGAGGGGCACUUAUGGGGUAUUUAUGGGGCACUUAUGGGGCAGAAGGGCACUUAUGGGGCAGAAGGACACUUACGGGGCAGAUAGGGGCACUUAUGGGGCAGAGGAGCACUUCUGGGGUAUAUAUGGAGCACUUAUGUGGUAUUUAUGGGGCACUUAUGGGGCAGAAGAACACUUAUGGGGCAGAUAGGGGCACUUAUGGGGUAUUUAUGGGGCAGAGGGGGGCACUUAUGGGGCACUUAUGGGGCAGAGGAGCACUUCUGGGGUAUACAUGGAGCACUUAUGGGGUAUUUAUGGGGCACUUAUGGGGCAGAGGGGCACUUAUGGGGUAUUUAUAGGGCACUUAUGGGGCAGAAGAACACUUAUGGGGCAGAUAGGGUCACUUCUGGGGUAUUUAUGGGGCAGAGGGGCACUUAUGGGGUAUUUAUGGUGCACUUAUGGGGCAGAAGGACACUUAUGGGGUAUUUAUGGGGCACUUAUGGGGCAGAAGGACACUUAAGGGGUAUUUAUGGGGCAGAGGGGCACUUAUGGAGCAGAUAGGGGCACUUAUGGGGCAGAGGGGCACUUAUGGGGUACUUAUGGGGCAGUUAUGGGGUACUUAUGGGGCAGAGUCCAUACACGUUCUCGUAGUCGGGGGCCGUCGGCGUCGCUGUCGCGGUCGCUGCCUGUGGGGAUUUAUGGGGUCAUUUGGGGACCUAUGGGGACUUAUAGGGACAAUAUGGCACAUAUAGGGACAUAUGGGGACAUAUAGGGGAUUUAUGGGGUCAUUUGGGGACCUAUGGGGACUUAUAGGGACAAUAUGGGGACAUAUGGGGACAUAUAGGGGAUUUAUGGGGUCAUUUGGGGGCAUAGGGGGACUUAUAGGGACAAUAUGGGGACAUAUAGGGGAUUUAUGGGGUCAUUUGGGGACAAUAUGGGGACAUAUAGGGGAUUUAUGGAGUCAUAUGGGGACAACAUGGGGACAUAUAGGGACAAUAUGGAGACAUAUGGGGACAUAUAGGGGAUUUAUGGGGUCAUUUGGGGGCCUAUGGGGACUUAUAGGGACAAUAUGGGGACAUAUGGGGACAUAUAGG